rnacentral:rRNA from 1 species
UACGGAGGGUGCAAGCGUUGUUCGGAAUUACUGGGCGUAAAGCGCACGUAGGCGGCUUUGUAAGUUAGAGGUGAAAGCCUGGAGCUCAACUCCAGAACUGCCUUUAAGACUGCAUCGCUCGAAUCCAGGAGAGGUGAGUGGAAUUCCGAGUGUAGAGGUGAAAUUCGUAGAUAUUCGGAAGAACACCAGUGGCGAAGGCGGCUCACUGGACUGGUAUUGACGCUGAGGCGCGACAGCGUGGGGAGCAAACAGG